AGUGAACGCUGGCGGUAGGCCUAACACAUGCAAGUCGAACGGCAGCACAGUAAGAGCUUGCUCUUACGGGUGGCGAGUGGCGGACGGGUGAGGAAUACAUCUGAAUCUACUUUUUCGUGGGGGAUAACGUAGGGAAACUUACGCUAAUACCGCAUACGACCUACGGGUGAAAGCAGGGGAUCUUCGGACCUUGCGCGAUUGAAUGAGCCGAUGUCGGAUUAGCUAGUUGGCGGGGUAAAGGCCCACCAAGGCGACGAUCCGUAGCUGGUCUGAGAGGAUGAUCCGCCACACUGGAACUGAGACACGGUCCAGACUCCUACGGGAGGCAGCAGUGGGGAAUAUUGGACAAUGGGCGCAAGCCUGAUCCAGCCAUACCGCGUGGGUGAAGAAGGCCUUCGGGUUGUAAAGCCCUUUUGUUGGGAAAGAAAAGCAGCAGGUUAAUACCCCGCUGUUCUGACGGUACCCAAAGAAUAAGCACCGGCUAACUUCGUG
rnacentral:rRNA from 1 species